rnacentral:misc_RNA from 1 species
AAAUGAUUUUAUUUUCUGAUAUGGAUAAUUUGGUUUAAUCUGACUAAAAAGGUUACCGCUAUUUUCCACAUUUGGGAUUUUCUCUUAAUAACAACUUGUUUAUGAAAAGGGGGCUAGCGGUACACAACUGCAAUACACUUGCAUUAACACUGACUAUGGGCGAGCAAGACAACAGUCCAACAUAAAUGGGGGAAAAAUUAAUAUGGUUCUUUCUUUUUAGUUCUAGAGAGAAUUUUCUCUCAAAUCUUUCUUCCUUUGUUGUUUCCUCUCUCGGGUUCAUGGCUUUCCACCUCCUGUAGUCUUUUCCGGCCCUUUUGGGUAGGGAAACACAUUAGUUUUGGGCAUGGCUUGCGGGUCAGCCCUCCCCCAACUAGAUUGGGUGUAAAUAGGUUUUGGAUUGUGUUUAUCUUUUGCAAGUCUAAAGGAAAUAGAGACGGCAGCAUUGAAUAUCCAUAUUGUGGCUUUGUCUUGGUUUUAUGCUGGAGUCGAGCCAUCGUCAAAGAGUGGUAGCCACUGUUUCCAUGGCGGGCUCCUUGCAUCUGCGAUGGCGAUGGUGAGUAUCUCUAGGUCAUCGAGCCAGACUCCUAUGGCCUAUGGCUGACUGAGAUUGACGCUUUAGACG